rnacentral:sRNA from 1 species
UUUUUUAGUUUUUUUUGU